AAGGUGGAGGCAGAGUAAUGGUGGAAGUACAGUAAAGGUGGAGGCGGGGUUACGGUGGAAAUACAGUAAAGGUGGAGGUGGAGUAAUGGGGGAAAUACAGUAAAGGUGGAGGUGGAGUAAUGGUGGAAGUACAGUAAAGGUGGAGGCGGAGUAAUGGUGGAAGAAAGAGGUGCAGAAUAUAUUCUAAUCUACUCUAUCUACUCAAGCGUGACUACAGCAGUGGACAGGAGGAAGCUUGAGACAUGACAUCAGUGUUCAAGUUCUAAUAAUCAGGAGGAGGACAAUAAUGUACAAAACAUAGAGAGCAACUAUACAUCAGAGUUUAAUGUUUGCACAGCUGCUGAAAACACACAGACCUCUCUCUCUCUCUCUCUCUCUCUCUCUCUCUCUCUCUCUCACACACACACACACACACACACUCAUUUUACUUUAGACAAUUAAGGGCCAAAUAGAAACCGCCCACACACACAUUCAGGUGAAAAGGAAAACUGUAAUCUGACGCACAC
ensembl:lncRNA